UACGAAGGGGGCUAGCGUUGCUCGGAAUUACUGGGCGUAAAGCGCACGUAGGCGGAUUGUUAAGUCGGGGGUGAAAUCCUGGAGCUCAACUCCAGAACUGCCUUCGAUACUGGCGAUCUCGAGUUCGGGAGAGGUGAGUGGAACUGCGAGUGUAGAGGUGAAAUUCGUAGAUAUUCGCAAGAACACCAGUGGCGAAGGCGGCUCACUGGCCCGAUACUGACGCUGAGGUGCGAAAGCGUGGGGAGCAAACAAG
rnacentral:rRNA from 1 species